CAGUUCAGCUGCAUGGUAAGGUGAGCCUGUGAACACUGAUUGGCAUUUCCUCUUGGGCUGGGUUCUCCAGGGAAGGACACACCCUGUAAUCCUCCAUGCUGAGUCUUGCCACUAUUACCGGUGAAAAUUCACCAGAACCAGCUUUCUAACAAUUCUUCUGGGAAUUCGAAGCACAUUGAAAUAUGAGGAAGAAUACUCUGCAAGGUCUCACUAUGAGGAAAUUCUAAGUGGACAGCCAUCUGCCAAGCUUCUCUACAUCUUAACUCCCUGAUGCCUUAAAACCCACGACAGCACUUUAAGAGAAUACGUGUGCAUGUUUUGCUUGCAUGUAAGUAUGUGCCCCACACAGGCACCCCAGGAGGUCAGAAGAGAGCAGCAGAUCUCCUAGAACUGGACUUGCUGAUGGCUGUAAGCUAGCUUCAUAUGGUUAAGUACUGAACCCGGAUGCUCUGCUACAGCAACAAAUGUCCCUAACUACUGAACCAUCUCUCCAGCUCCUACAACCAGCAUUUCUGUGGGUCCUAGGGUCCUGAACUCAGGCUCUCUUGAGCAAGCACUUUGCCUUCAAAAUAAAGUGAGGUCAUGCUAUGCUGCUAUGCUCGCCCAGGUUAAACUUGAAUUCCUGGGUCAAGUGUGAAGUGGAAACUUCUGGUUUCUUUGGAAAGUCAGAUAUGUCAAAUGAUGUUUUGCUGGGGCACACAGGUGAAAGGACGUUUUGCUAAAGUAGACAUGAAAGAAUGUUUCACUGAAGCAGACACAGAGAAAAACACACCAAAAACCUCUGGUGGUGUUGAGGGCUUCUCGCUGCUUCGUUAGACUUGGGCAGAGUGAUGUGAGCUGAUAUUGACUCACGUGGCGUUUUGCUGAGGCAAGACUCGUGGGAGGACAUGUGAUGUUGGGAGAAAGUGUACGACUCAGUGGACAGUGACAGUGGGCUUGCAUAGCUGGCUUUGCAACGCAUCUCUUGUCUUCGCUGAUCUUCACUUCGUUGAGGCAUGGCAGAACUUCCCUUGGCAUCCCUGCCAGUCCCGGUUGUUCCUGGGUGAUGCCACUGCUGCUGAUUCGUCUGCCAUCCUGACUACUGGACUGGACUGCUGGUAUCCUGACAAUUGGAGACUGAAAUCACCCCAAGGAACUACUUCUAAACCGCAGACAGCAGAGCCUCUUGGUUUCCUCUGGAUAGACCUGCCGAUGCUGAUUCUUGUGAACUGCACUGAUUAUAUCCUGACAACAGAUUGGAUUUGCCCCGAAGAACUAUUUCUAAACAAGUUCACUUCCCCAGUAACCUAAUAACCUCUUUCUCUCUACCUCUGGUGGGUGAUGUGCUGACUAGAAAGGAGGUUAAAGCAUUUAAGAACUCUUAUUAAAAGUAGAUUUUGAGGGGUUGGGGAUUUAGCUCAGUGGUAGAGCGCCUGCCUAGCAAGCGCAAGGCCCUGGGUUUGGUCCCCAGCUCCGAAAAAAAGAAAAAAAAAAGUAGAUUUUGAGGGCUGGAGAGGUGGCUCAGUGGUUAAGAGCACUGACUGCUCUUCCAGAGGCCCCGAGUUCAAAUUCCAGCAACCACAUGGUGGCGCACAAUGACAUCUGUAUUGGGAUCCUGGUGCCCUCUUCUGUCGUACAGGCACAUAUCCAGGCAGAACACUGUAUACAUAAUAAAUAAAUCUUUAAACAAACAAACAAAGCCUACACAGGUGACCCUCAGCCUCUGCAGUGGCUGGAAGUACCAGAAUAACUGAUGCUGGGUCCCUAGAAUAACUGAUGCUGGGUCCCUAGAAUAACUGAUGCUGGGUCCCUAGAAUAACUGAUGCUGGGUCCCUAGAAUAACUGAUGCUGGGUCCCUAGAAUAACUGAUGCUGGGUCCCUAGAAUAACUGAUGCUGGGUCCCUAGAAUAACUGAUGCUGGGUCCCUAGAAUAACUGAUGCUGGGUCCCUAGAAUAACUGAUGCUGGGUCCCUAGAAUAACUGAUGCUGGGUCCCUAGAAUAACUGAUGCUGGGUCCCUAGAAUAACUGAUGCUGGGUCCCUAGAAUAACUGAUGCUGGGUCCCUAGAAUAACUGAUGCUGGGUCCCUAGAAUAACUGAUGCUGGGUCCCUAGAAUAACUGAUGCUGGGUCCCUAGAAUAACUGAUGCUGGGUCCCUAGAAUAACUGAUGCUGGGUCCCUAGAAUAACUGAUGCUGGGUCCCUCAGUGUCAGCUCCAGCCCAGCAAGUUGGGGCUGGAGGACUGAAUUGAAGCAGCCUACAACUCACUGUCUAAGAUGGCUGUCACUACAACUACAUACGAUUCUUUUAAAUUAAAACUAAUAGACUAGAUGUGAUGAUGCACACCUGCAAUCCCAGCGCUCAGAGGGUGGGGGCAGGAGGAUCAGAAAUUCAAGGUCAUCCUCAGCUACAUAGCAAACCUGAGGCUGGAUUACGUGAGACCUUACCUCAAAAGUAGCUGAGCACAGUGAGGCACGUUUAUGAUGAGCACAGUGAGGCAUGUUUAUGAUUACACUUAGGAGGCAGAGGCAGGAUUAUCACAGUUUGAGUCUAGACUGGGUUACAGUGAGUUCUUGGUCUGCAGGCUAAACUAAUGUUUCAAACUCCUCCCGCCCCAGCCUGGCCACAGUGGCGAAGUUUCACAUGCUUAAACAUCCCUAGCUCUAGUGUCUAGGUACAGUUCCAGGCAUGCAUUUCUAUCACUGCAGACAGGGCUGCCCAUUGGACUGUCCCGCUCUAGCAGGCCUCUGGAAUGUGAAUGGCCACUGAAGAAUUUGUUCCCUUUGGGCUACAAGAGGGACUUUGACAGAGAAAGAUGUAAAUGACUUUUGCUAAUAGUGGGGAGGCGGGUUAAUAAUUCAUAAAGCCCCAAGACUUUCCAGUUUGUAAAGAACUGUACCAAAAGGAGACUGCAGUGGAGAGGGUUUUGGCUUGUGGUGUUGGGCAUUGAAUCUUGUGUCAGACAAGGAUUCUAUCACCAAGUUACGGCCCCUAUGCCCCUAACAUAAAGAGUUCCUGGCCAAAUCUAACUCCCCACUCCUACUCAACUUCUGAGACAGGGUCUCUCUAUCUAGCCUUGGUUGUCCUGGAACUCACUGUGUAGACCAGGCUGGCCUCAAGCUUAAAGAGAUGUUCCUGUUUCCACCUACUGAGUGCUGGGAUUAAAGGUAUGCACCACCACUUCCAGUUCCAGACAAGUUUUUAAGAAUCUAUUACAAAGCAAAGUGGUGAACCCUCAUGGGAUUGGAAAACAACAGCCAAAGGGACCAAUGCAGACAUAAUCCACACAGGCAUGACUAGAGACCUAAAUUUUUAGGUAGAUUAUAUAUUUCUUAAAUGUCCUUUGAGUCUUUAUGUAAUCUUCUAUCAUCUAGUGGUGAUCAGGGAUCAGUAUAUGAACUCUUCCUGAGAACAGGAAAUAGCCAGCUCUGGAAGUGGGAGCAGGUUGAGCCCAGGGGAGCCCCCGCUGUGGCAGAAAGGUUCAUGGUAUCUGUUCAUCCUGAGAAGGAAACCAUUUGUCUAGGCAAGCAAGGUCCACAUGUAGCUCCCAGCAUGCACUUGUGCUUUCCUGCCUCAGCACUGCUUACCCUAAUGCCCUUUCUAGAGUGCCUGGUAUUCUCUCCAACACCGUAUGCAGUAAAUCUUUCUGAAUGCCUGUAAAUUCCAGAUGCUCUGAGCACAAGCCUAUAACAGACGAUGAUGAGACAGUCACUGGAGUUGUUUGGUAUUUGACUAGAUCUCUAUGUGAAAAAGAGACUGGCAGCCAUGUUGCUGCAUGCCUUCCGCAAGGCACAAGGAAGACAGGGCAUCUCCAUGAGUUGGAGACAGGCUAGUCAAGGUGAUAUAGUGAGACCCUGGCCCCGGUGCAGGUCUUUAAUAAGGGUUCUUAAACGCUUUAACCUCCCUUCUAGUCCACCACCCACCAAAGGUAGAGGGAAAGAGGUUAUUAGGUUACAGGGAAGUGAACUUGUUAGAAAUAGUUCUUUGGAGAAAAUCCAACUGUGCUGUCAGGAUAUAAUCAGUGCAGUUCACACGAAUCAGCAUCGGCAGGUCUAUCCAGAGGAAACCGAGAGGCUCUGCUGUCUGUAGUUUAGAAGUAGUUCCUUGGGGUAAUUUCAAUCUCCAAUUGUCAGGAUACCAGCAGUCCAGUACAGCAGACAAGAUGGCAGACAUGAAUCAGCAGCAAUGGUGUCACCCAGCA